UNUGCUGUGAAAGGCUGGGGCUUAACCCUGGUUUUNCAGUGGGUACGGGCUAACUAGAGUGCAGUAGGGGAGACUGGAAUUCCUGGUGUAGCGGUGGAAUGCGCAGAUAUCAGGAGGAACNCCGAUGGCGAAGGCAGGUCUCUGGGCUGUAACUGACGCUGAGAAGCGAAAGCAUGGGGAGCGAACAGGAUUAGAUACCNUGGUAGUCCAUGCCGUAAACGUUGGGCACUAGGUGUGGGGGACAUUCCACGUUUUCCGCGCCGUAGCUAACGCAUUAAGUGCCCCGCCUGGGGAGUACGGCCGCAAGGCUAAAACUCAAAGAAAUUGACGGGGGCCCGCACAAGCGGCGGAGCAUGCGGAUUAAUUCGAUGCAACGCGAAGAACCUUACCAAGGCUUGACAUAUACUGGACUGCGUCAGAGGUGGCGUUUCCCUUCGGGGCUGGUAUACAGGUGGUGCAUGGUUGUCGUCAGCUCGUGUCGUGAGAUGUUGGGUUAAGUCCCGCAACGAGCGCAACCCUCGUUCUAUGUUGCCAGCACGUGAUGGUGGGGACUCAUAGGAGACUGCCGGGGUCAACUCGGAGGAAGGUGGGGAUGACGUCAAAUCAUCAUGCCCCUUAUGUCUUGGGCUUCACGCAUGCUACAAUGGCCGGUACAGAGGGUUGCGAUACUGUGAGGUGGAGCUAAUCCCUAAAAGCCGGUCUCAGUUCGGAUUGGGGUCUGCAACUCGACCCCAUGAAGUCGGAGUCGCUAGUAAUCGCAGAUCAGCAACGCUGCGGUGAAUACGUUCCCGGGCCUUGUACACACCGCCCGUCAAGUCACGAAAGUUGGUAACACCCGAAGCCGG
rnacentral:rRNA from 1 species